rnacentral:rRNA from 1 species
UACGUAGGGGGCGAGCGUUGUCCGGAUUUAUUGGGCGUAAAGAGCGUGUAGGCGGCUUGGUAGGUCUGCUGUGAAAACUCGAGGCUCAACCUCGAGACGUCGAUGGAAACCAUCUAGCUAGAGUCCGGAAGAGGAGAGUGGAAUUCCUGGUGUAGCGGUGAAAUGCGUAGAUAUCGGAAGGAACACCAGUGGCGAAAGCGGCUUCCUGGUCCAGCACCGACGUUCAGGCACGAAAGCGUGGGGAGCAAACAGG